AGAGUUUGAUCCUGGCUCAGGACGAACGCUGGCGGCGCGCCUAACACAUGCAAGUCGAACGAGAGAUGAAGAGCUUGCUCUUCAGAUCGAGUGGCGAACGGGUGAGUAACGCGUGAGGAACCUGCCUCAAAGAGGGGGACAACAGUUGGAAACGACUGCUAAUACCGCAUAAGCCCACGGCUCGGCAUCGAGCAGAGGGAAAAGGAGUAAUCCGCUUUGAGAUGGCCUCGCGUCCGAUUAGCUGGUUGGUGAGGUAACGGCCCACCAAGGCGACGAUCGGUAGCCGGACUGAGAGGUUGAACGGCCACAUUGGGACUGAGACACGGCCCAGACUCCUACGGGAGGCAGCAGUGGGGAAUAUUGCACAAUGGGGGAAACCCUGAUGCAGCGACGCCGCGUGGAGGAAGAAGGUCUUCGGAUUGUAAACUCCUGUUGUUGAGGAAGAUAAUGACGGUACUCAACAAGGAAGUGACGGCUAACUACGUGCCAGCAGCCGCGGUAAAACGUAGGUCACAAGCGUUGUCCGGAAUUACUGGGUGUAAAGGGAGCGCAGGCGGGAGAACAAGUUGGAAGUGAAAUCCAUGGGCUCAACCCAUGAACUGCUUUCAAAACUGUUUUUCUUGAGUAGUGCAGAGGUAGGCGGAAUUCCCGGUGUAGCGGUGGAAUGCGUAGAUAUCGGGAGGAACACCAGUGGCGAAGGCGGCCUACUGGGCACCAACUGACGCUGAGGCUCGAAAGUGUGGGUAGCAAACAGGAUUAGAUACCCUGGUAGUCCACACCGUAAACGAUGAUUACUAGGUGUUGGAGGAUUGACCCCUUCAGUGCCGCAGUUAACACAAUAAGUAAUCCACCUGGGGAGUACGACCGCAAGGUUGAAACUCAAAGGAAUUGACGGGGGCCCGCACAAGCAGUGGAGUAUGUGGUUUAAUUCGACGCAACGCGAAGAACCUUACCAAGUCUUGACAUCCCUUGACGAUGCUGGAAACAGUAUUUCUCUUCGGAGCAAGGAGACAGGUGGUGCAUGGUUGUCGUCAGCUCGUGUCGUGAGAUGUUGGGUUAAGUCCCGCAACGAGCGCAACCCUU
rnacentral:rRNA from 1 species